UGCGUUUAAGUAUAUGAAGUAUACAGGUUUUUGGUACCUAGGGGGAUGGUUUGAGUCCAUCAAAUGCAA
rnacentral:tRNA from 1 species